CGCCUGCCCGGUGCCGGAAGGUUAAUUGAUGGGGUUAGACUUCGGUCGAAGCUCUUGAUCGAAGCCCCGGUAAACGGCGGCCGUAACUAUAACGGUCCUAAGGUAGCGAAAUUCCUUGUCGGGUAAGUUCCGACCUGCACGAAUGGCGUAAUGAUGGCCACGCUGUCUCCACCCGAGACUCAGUGAAAUUGAAAUCGCUGUGAAGAUGCAGUGUACCCGCGGCUAGACGGAAAGACCCCGUGAACCUUUACUACAGCUUGGCACUGAACAUUGACCCUACAUGUGUAGGAUAGGUGGGAGGCUUUGAAGCACGUACGCCAGUAUGUGUGGAGCCGUCCUUGAAAUACCACCCUUGUAGUGUUGAUGUUCUAACGUCGACCCCUUAUCGGGGUUGCGGACAGUGCCUGGUGGGUAGUUUGACUGGGGCGGUCUCCUCCCAAAGAGUAACGGAGGAGCACGAAGGUGGGCUAAUCACGGUUGGACAUCGUGAGGUUAGUGCAAUGGCAUAAGCCCGCUUGACUGCGAGAAUGACAAUUCGAGCAGGUGCGAAAGCAGGUCAUAGUGAUCCGGUGGUUCUGAAUGGAAGGGCCAUCGCUCAACGGAUAAAAGGUACUCCGGGGAUAACAGGCUGAUACCGCCCAAGAGUUCAUAUCGACGGCGGUGUUUGGCACCUCGAUGUCGGCUCAUCACAUCCUGGGGCUGAAGUCGGUCCCAAGGGUAUGGCUGUUCGCCAUUUAAAGUGGUACGCGAGCUGGGUUUAGAACGUCGUGAGACAGUUCGGUCCCUAUCUGCCGUGGGCGUUGGAAGAUUGAAGGGGGCUGCUCCUAGUACGAGAGGACCGGAGUGGACGAACCUCUGGUGUUCGGGUUGUGUCGCCAGACGCAUUGCCCGGUAGCUAAGUUCGGAAUCGAUAACCGCUGAAAGCAUCUAAGCGGGAAGCGAGCCCUGAGAUGAGUCUUCCCUGAUACUUUAAGUAUCCUAAAGGGUUGUCGGAGACUACGACGUUGAUAGGUCAGGUGUGUAAGUGCUGUGAGGCAUUGAGCUAACUGAUACUAAUUGCCCGUGAGGCUUAACCAUACAACAC
rnacentral:rRNA from 1 species